rnacentral:lncRNA from 1 species
CUGGGACCACAGGGUAAAGUAAAAGCCCAUGCCACCCCAUGGUUUGGAGGAACCAAACCCCCAGCCUUUUGAGGGGUGAGACUCCUGGAAUUUUCGUCCCGUGCCUUCGUGGGGAUUUCUCCUGUAUUUAGUAUUUGUUCACCCGACACAGACUUGCAGAGCCUAAUGCAUUCCAGACACUGCGCUGAGUGCCAGGAAUAAAGAAACAUCUGUACCUGGUACAGUCUGGCUGGGGCAAGAAACCACCAACAUGAUAAGCAAAUGAAUGUAUAAUGUAACAGAACAUGGGUUGUGCCCUGAAGAAAAAUAAAGACUGACCAGGAAAGGGGAUGGGAGUGGGGAGAAAAACCAUAUUAAACUGAAUUAUACCUUCCACCUUACCU